rnacentral:lncRNA from 1 species
GGUUGGUUAGAAAUCUAUACUUUAAUAUGUCAAAACUGAUUAUCCAUGAGUAAAAGCAUCAAUAGGCUUUCUUUGAUAGAUUGAAUUGCCAAAAGAGAUAAGAUUUAGUGGUUUUAAAUGAUCGAAGCCAUAUGGAUGGUGACCACAUAUGAUCAUAACCAAACAAAUGUAUGUCACCAGAUAAGCCUAGUUGUUACUAUAAAUAUACACAGAUGCAUAUGCAGAUGUGUAUGUACAUUUACAUAUGGGCAAAUAUAAGUGCGUAUGUGCAUGUACGCGUGUGUGUGUGUGCGCGUGCGUGUGUGUCUGUGUGUGUGUGUCAAAGGCAGCCAUGCAUAAGGACAGAAAAGAGAGCACUCGCAAGGAAAGAGAACAAGGAAUAAAAAUGAAUACAGACCCAAAAAAAAUUCUAGUUGGAUUGCCACUUACUUUAACGACUGAUUUUGUUUAUUACAACAUGUCAUUCUUACCCUCUACAAAUGUGAAGAGAAAAAAAAGGGUAACCAACAAGAAUGCCCCUAAAUAAAAGCAUCUCUCUCCAUACAUGCAUUAGAAAUUUCCCAAAACCCCACAAAUUAAAAAUAAAAAUAAAAAUAAAAUUCAAAUA